UUGGAGUUCACUUUACAACGAAGAUAAAGUAUUUUUCUUUCCUUGACGUCCAAUAGCAAAAAUGAGAGUGCUCCAGAAAACAAUAAUUCGAAUAUCUAUCGAUUUAAGUCACCUUGUCACUCAGUUUCCCUUGAAUUUAAUCAGUCAUUUUUCUCUCUUCAUUUCUGUACCUUUCCUUUGCUUUCAUUUUCACUCUUUUUUCUUGGAUUGGGGCUUUCUUUUGUUCUUACUUUUUCUUUUUGCUGAAAGAAAAAUUCCUCCAAAUUUGUUUUUGGGGAGGGUCGACAGUGAAACUGAAAAUUUCAUUGUUCUGACCGAUUCUGUUCAUCUUUUUAGGGUUUAGUGAUUUUUGCUGACGUAGUUUUUAGAGUCUAAUCGUGUCUUUCUGUGAAUUUGAAGCUUGUAAAAUCACUAAGCGAGUUCCCUGUUGGAGAAAGCCAGGGCAGAGAAGAAGAGAGCAAUUGAGGCUCCUCAACCUAAGAGACCCCGCGCCAAUGUUGCAGGAUAUGAUCCACGAGUCACUAACAUAACUGUUGACAAAACAUUCUAUCCUAGAGUCAUUGAUAGGUGGCCGUAAUAUGUAUAUCGGACUUGCCAACAACCACGUCCCCGCUCUUCUUGGUUCAGCCACCUCAAACUUCUCUCUCGGUCAUGGGAACUACUUUGGAAACGACUACCAGUGCCAGGCUCCCAUCUUCACUUAUUUCCAAACAUGGAAAGAAGGUAAUUGUGAUCCUAAAAUUAUAUCUUGUAAAAUUACGGAACGGGUUUAGUUUCUUAAAAUUAUGAUAAAUUAUUAUAAUUUUUA